GCGCAAUGAAAUAUAGUGUUACUAACUGACAAGAAAACACACAUUGACUGUGCUUCUACAUAAUUUAUUCAUAGAAGAACAGCCAGAAAGGCGAAAUUGAUGCAUUUGUGCCAAAUAUUAGCAUCAUUGACCCAUACCAAUGUACAGUACCUAUAAUUAUAGGUACCUAUACAGUUUGUUUGUAUGCUUCUUUAUCCAGUUUCUAUUCUAAUUUGCAGUUAAGUGGAAGAAAUAAAUGAAUUGAAAUACGAAUAAAAGUAUAAACAGCAGAUUUGAACUAAUAGAUUUUCAGCAAAUAAUAAUCCGACACAAAAAAAUAGUAAAGCAGACACUAACACGAUAUAACGUCGUCACCAAUGACUAAAUCUCUAAAAGAUGGACAAAAACAUUGUAGCUCUGACAUGGGCAUGAGGGAUAUAAAUUACUGAAAAAUAGCUGCAGGUGAAGUUGAUUGACCGCAAGUGCUCAGUUUGUGAUCACAUCUAUGUUUUGUUCUGUUGAUAUGUCGUCCAAAAUUUUGUAGCUUGAAACGGAUGGAAAAUUACUGAAUUGUGCUGCUUUUAUGGCCCCUCAAACAUGCCAUGCUGGGUUUUCUCAGCUUGGGUUUCAGGUUUUGGAAAGGGAAAAAAAUUCUACCAUCCUUCCUGUCCAAACUUUUAGGAUACCGGGUAUUAGAUUUGCACAGUCCAUAUGCACGACGCUUUGGCUUGUUUACCUUGCUCGAAAGCUUGACAGACCUCCUACUCGUAGCUACACUUGCUUAGCCAUGAUUGGUGUGUGGCUUUUUUCGGGUGUGGCUUAGCAAAGGGUCAAUUGGAUAUAUCAUCAUUGGAAGAGACCGCCACUUAGACAGUAACUUUUUGUUCAGACACCUAUCUCGUAAUACGUUGAUGGUAUUCUUUAGGAAAUAUACAUAAAGUUGACUUACACAAAGUGUCAAAUAAAGUUUUUAUUUGCACAAAUUUCAGUAAAUGACUAGUUGACUCGAUUGCACAUCGUACUGAAUAGAAAUGUCUUGUGUAUGCAUAUACUUUAUUUUCCUGAUUUGGUUUAGUAGUUUGUUCAAAUUAGGUGUUUGUUUAGCCAAGUAAGUUACAUGUUAAGUAAAUUCACACAAUGCAAUACAAUGUAAUGAUAAAUUAAUGAAUGCAAUUUUAUUUGUGUAUAUGGCUCUAUAUGGCCUGUUUAAAAGAGAGAGAGAGAGAGAGAGAGAGAAAGAGAGAGAAAGAGAAAGAAAGAGAAAGAGAUGUUGCUCCCAUAACCGUCAGGCGGUUUUGCUAUUUAAGUACUUCAUAUAUGACAGUAUUUUAUUAUCCGGUUUUUUAGCUGUUACUACUCAUUUUAUAGGAAUGGAGAACUUAAAUUUGCACAUAAUGACAAAAUAAUUUUGAAGAGAGUAUGAACAGAUUUGCCACAUGCUUUACUAAAUCGUUUGAUCGAAAAUGGUUAAGGGUCACAUAUUUGCUAAAGAUUGCUGUCCUGUCAGUAUUGUACUGCACUUUUACAGCAAAUAACAAUAAGUUACUUAGCAAAUAAACCUAUAGUCUUAUUAAAUGAAUGUAAAUAAUUGUACAUUUACCAUAAACUGAAUAGCAAAAUUUAUUUGUUGCAGGUUUCAGUAACAAACAAAUCCAACAUUGGCUCAGAAGUUAAGCCAAUGGCUUCAGCUCCACCAAAUAAUGAGGAGGAAACUGCUGAUAAUAGCCUUAUUACUUCAGUAAACAUCUAUUCUUUUCACACUCUGGCAACAGCUAUCAAAAAUGGUUGUCAAUUUUUUAAAAAGUUUAAGUACAGACAAGACAACAACAUUGUUAUAUUGCUUUUUCAGCUGAUGAGGGAUGAAACAAAAUCCUUAUUUGCCUGAGCAUUUUAAGGGACAGAGGACAAAACAUUUUCUGUUGAGCACAUAAGAAGAUAUUUUGAAGAAUGUUAGAAACCACCAACCUUUGACUUCUAUAGUCAAAUACUAGAAGUCAACGGUUACCAGUUUCCAACCUUCAAAAUAACAUUAUUUGGGUUCAACAGAAGAAAGAAACUUAAACAGGUUUGUGACAAGUGAAGGGUGAGUAAAUGAUAACAUAAUUGUCAGUUUUAGGUGAACUAUCCCUUUAUUUUAAAAGCUUAAUGAUAUGCACAAAGUGUGUUAAAAUACCUGUGGAGAUUUGGGGGUCAAUGGCAUCUAAAAGUUCAAAGCUCCUCAAAUCAACAUGUUAAAUAUUUUCAUUUGUUUAGAAGGGGGGCGGCCUAGUUAUGGUGGAGUUGAUCCACCUGGAGAUGGUGAGACGCCUUCAGAAACCAGCUCUGAUAACCAAAAGAUCAGGAAGAGGGUUCCAGAAACUGGCGGAUGGUUUUUGAAGGUUGUCUGUCGCUUUCAAGAUGGCCAGCCAUUCUGGAUCAAACUCAAGCUUCUUGUAGGAGCUUCCUCCACAAUCUGCAAUGACAAAACAACGGAAUCUACUUCUGGAUCUCACUAAACAUGCUGAAUGAUGGAAACAGCAGGAUCAUUACCUGAAAGAAGACAUUCGACAAGUGAGAGAAACCUGUUGAUCUUCAGCAGCAUUAUUCAUGAUUCUCAGCCUGAAGAGACAAACAGCUUAUUGUUACUCAUUUUAAACUGAUCUCUACAUUUUAUUCAGCCUUUUUUACACAUUUCAUGCCUGAAGCCUGUAACUGGAGAGAUAUAAAGUCAGAUUUGAGUUCACAUUGUCAUAAAUAAAAAAUAAUGAAAACGUGA